CUAGGGUACACCAUGGGCAAUGCCGGUGUUGGCUGCUGUCAGUCUAGAAGAGUUAAUAUUCUCAAGUUUAAUUAAAAGCCUUGAAUCUAAUUUUGAUAUUCUGUACCAACUGCUUUGUUGAACAAAACAGUAAAUUGAAAACCAUGAGUCACAAACAAUCACUUUAAAAAGAUGAGUAAUCACUUAGCAAAUGUUAUAGGAAUGUAAGUAUAGCAGCU